AUAGCGUAUAUUAAAGUUGUUGCAGUUAAAACGCUCGUAGUUGAACUUCAAACCUGGCUGGGCGGUCCGCUUAACGGCGUGUACUGUCCGGCUGGGCCUUACCUCUUGGUGAGCCGGCGUGCCCUUUAUUGGUGUGCGUCGGGGAACCAGGACUUUUACCUUGAGAAAAUUAGAGUGUUCAAAGCAGGCCUAUGCCCGAAUACAUUAGCAUGGAAUAAUAAAAUAGGACGUGCGGUUCUAUUUUGUUGGUUUCUAGAGUCGCCGUAAUGAUUAAUAGGGAUAGUUGGGGGCAUUGGUAUUGAGUCGCUAGAGGUGAAAUUCUUGGAUUGACUCAAGACCAACUGUUG
rnacentral:rRNA from 1 species